UCAUAACGUUUCUUAUUGGACAAAUAAAGCUUUCCAAAACUUCUUAAACUCGUUUUAUCUAUCGAAACACAUUAGAUAUAUCUCCAUCUUCAUCCCUGCUCCAUCCCUUAAAUUAUACCUUUAAAUUGCCUCAAGGAUAAUUUCCAUUGACCUUAAGCUAUGAAUACGUUUUCAAAAUAUUCAAUUAUCCUGAGCUCCAGACUAGUCUUUCAUUUUCUGUUCCUAUGCAAGACUUAAUAAUUCUGUUUCCAUUGUCCUUUAAUCUUCUAUCUUCAAACGAAGAAAGAAAUUACUCUCUUUUUCUUCCUUCCAGUGCAAAGCCACGUUUGACGAUCCCGCUCAGUUGACUCACGAUGACGAUGGCAAAAGCCAACGACAACUGAAGUCGAAGAAAUGCUUGCGAGUACGAGAAUGCGCUCAGGUAUGCGGCAGUCGCGCGUUAAAAACAUUCGCAGCAUGGAAGUCGACCGAGUGAAGAAAGAUUGUUAUUUUAAUCUGUUUAACUCUCUAUAACGUCAUUCAAUUCGAAAAUUACGUAUAUAUAUAUAUAUCGUAUGUCUAGACAGAGCAAUAAUACAACUACAAAAAUGUCAGAAGAUGAAAAUGAUAAUUGGAAAAUAAAAAUAUUAUUAAUG